GACUGCUUGGCGCAAUGGUAGCGCGCGGUCCUCCUAUUACUGCGGUUUAUCCGUCGGAAAUAGGUAGUGAAAGACUGAGGUUGCGGGUUCGAGUCCCGUGGUGGUCG